rnacentral:lncRNA from 1 species
UUUUUAUUAGGUUUUAGCUAAAUUAUUGAUUUAUUAUUUAUUUUUACCCUUAGUUAAUAUUAUAUAUAUUAAAAAAAAAUUAUUUUAGUAAUAUUAAAUUUCUAUUUUAUAUUAAAAUUUAGUUAGUUUUUCUUAUUUGUCAUAUUUUAUUAGGUUUUAGACUUUUAGAUAGGUUAUUGAUUUAUUAUUAAUUUCUAACUGAUUCGCUAAUGUGUUAAUUAAAACAAUACCCUUAAUGAAUUUUAUAUAUAAUUAAAAACGAAUUUUAUUUUAAUCAUAUAAAAUUUAUAUGUUAU